ACCAAGGCGACGAUCCGUAGCUGGUCUGAGAGGAUGAUCAGCCACACUGGAACUGAGACACGGUCCAGACUCCUACGGGAGGCAGCAGUGGGGAAUAUUGGACAAUGGGCGCAAGCCUGAUCCAGCCAUACCGCGUGGGUGAAGAAGGCCUUCGGGUUGUAAAGCCCUUUUGUUGGGAAAGAAAAGCAGUCGGCUAAUACCCGGUUGUUCUGACGGUACCCAAAGAAUAAGCACCGGCUAACUUCGUGCCAGCAGCCGCGGUAAUACGAAGGGUGCAAGCGUUACUCGGAAUUACUGGGCGUAAAGCGUGCGUAGGUGGUUGUUUAAGUCUGUUGUGAAAGCCCUGGGCUCAACCUGGGAAUUGCAGUGGAUACUGGGCGACUAGAGUGUGGUAGAGGGGUAGUGGAAUUCCCGGUGUAGCAGUGAAAUGCGUAGAGAUCGGGAGGAACAUCCAUGGCGAAGGCAGCUACCUGGACCAACACUGACACUGAGGCACGAAAGCGUGGGGAGCAAACAGGAUUA
rnacentral:rRNA from 1 species